rnacentral:lncRNA from 1 species
UCCAGUCCUCCCACCAAAUGGGCCAUACGUACCUUGCUCACAAUAAAGAGGUCCUCCCGCUUCACCACCUUCUCCUGGAUCUUCUCUUGGAUGGCUUCUCCCACCUCAUUCUCAUUCUGAUAGACGUAGGCGCAGUCUAUGUGGCGAUAGCCUGCAUCAAUGGCUUUGAGAGAGCAAAUAGAUGUCUGGCGUCCCGGUAAUGAGGCUCACAGUCGCUUUAAAUCCUGGUUAGGGAGGCUGGCCC